GUGAGCUGUGCUUCCCGUUCGGUUACUUUGGCUUCAAACUUGAAUUCACUUUGCUUGCCUGACAAGUCUAACUUUUUAGUAAAUAACCCUGUUAAUAUUAUUGUUCCCAUGGGUUACGUGACCUUAACACUGCAAUACGUUUAAUUCCUUACAGCCUUUCAUAGUAACGGCACCAAAAAUGCUGUAUUUUAAAAAAAAAAAAAAAAAAUUAAAUUGAAUAAAACAUUUACCUCAAUUUAUCUGCAUUCCCCUCCUACUGACGGCUCAUUUU